rnacentral:rRNA from 1 species
CCUACGGGAGGCAGCAGUGGGGAAUUUUCCGCAAUGGGCGAAAGCCUGACGGAGCAACGCCGCGUGAGGGAUGAAGGCCUCUGGGCUGUAAACCUCUUUUAUCAAGGAAGAAGAUCUGACGGUACUUGAUGAAUAAGCCACGGCUAAUUCCGUGCCAGCAGCCGCGGUAAUACGGGAGUGGCAAGCGUUAUCCGGAAUUAUUGGGCGUAAAGCGUCCGCAGGCGGUCUUGUAAGUCUGUCGUUAAAGCGUGGAGCUUAACUCCAUUUCAGCGAUGGAAACUGCAAGACUAGAGUGUGGUAGGGGCAGAGGGAAUUCCCGGUGUAGCGGUGAAAUGCGUAGAUAUCGGGAAAAACACCAGUGGCGAAGGCGCUCUGCUGGGCCAUAACUGACGCUCAUGGACGAAAGCCAGGGGAGCGAAAGGGAUUAGAUACCCCUGUAGUCCUGGCCGUAAACGAUGAACACUAGGUGUCGGGGGAAUCGACCCCCUCGGUGUCGUAGCCAACGCGUUAAGUGUUCCGCCUGGGGAGUACGCACGCAAGUGUGAAACUCAAAUGAAUUGACGG